rnacentral:sRNA from 1 species
UGGCUUUGAAGAAACUAGCCCUGUUCAGCACUUUGCCGGUUUCCCCAUCUGCAGAAUGGCUGGCUCCAUGCUCCCUUAACAUACCUCCCAGUCUCAACCUCAAGGCAUCGUGGCUUGUUUGUGUGAACUGCGUUUAAUGGCCCUGUCAGCAAGUAGGUGAUGAUCAGGACAGGAUUCAUUUCAGAGAGAAGAGCUGGUGCUCCCAUGAAGGACCAAAAUGCCAUGUGGAGAGGGCCACAAGAGGAGGACCCAAGAGGGACCUCUACAAGCUGAGAGUUGAGAGUGGUCCCCUGCCAAGAGAAAGUGAGAAAAUAGGGCCUCACUAAUAUGGUCACAAGAAAAUGAAUUCUUCCAACAUCCAGAGGGAGCUUGGAAGUUGAUCUUUCUCUAGUCAAGCCUCCAUAUGAGGACACACCUGGCCAACACCUUGAUUUCAGACUUGUGGGAUCCCAAGCAGAGAACCCAUAUGAGCUGUGCCCAGACUUCUGACUUAGAGAAUUGUGAGCUAAUAAACAGGUGGUGU